UCAACAGGACAGCCUGCUGAAAGAAACGUUGGUAGCUGAUCGCUAUGGCCACUAGACGUGCUGGCGAAGCCAGUGUUGUCUCCCCCAAGUUCCGCAACUACCUAGCUAUCAUCACUGACGUGACGCAAAGUGACGAAGGAAGACUAAAGGCAGUUCAAGAGUUGAGCGAAAACUUUGAGUUCUGUGUUGUCAAAUGCCGCUCUAAGAAAUGUUUAGCGAAAAUUGUGUGUUUGGCAUGCGGUAGAUGCUGAUUUAUUAUAUCUAGGAGUCUUAGAUUUUGCUUUGAAAGACGG